GCCAGUGUGAUAGAGUGGUUUGAGUGUUGGACUAUGACUCUGGAGACUAGGGUUCAAAUCCCAGCUUGGCCA
rnacentral:tRNA from 1 species